GACGAACCGUACGAACGUUAUUCGGAAUCACUGGGCUUAAAGGGUGCGUAGGCGGCGCAGUAAGUUGGGUGUGAAAUCCCUCGGCUUAACCGAGGAAUUGCGCCCAAAACUACUGUGCUCGAGGGAGGUAGAGGUGAGCGGAACUUAGGGUGGAGCGGUGAAAUGCGUUGAUAUCCUAAGGAACACCGGUGGCGAAAGCGGCUCACUGGACCUCUUCUGACGCUGAGGUGCGAAAGCGUGGGGAGCAAACAGG
rnacentral:rRNA from 1 species